UGGUGUCUUGGUCCUGUGCUCAGU
rnacentral:siRNA from 1 species